AACGAACGCUGGCGGCAUGCCUAACACAUGCAAGUCGAACGAGACCUUCGGGUCUAGUGGCGCACGGGUGCGUAACGCGUGGGAACCUGCCCUUAGGUUCGGAAUAACUCCCCGAAAGGGGUGCUAAUACCGGAUAAUGUCUUCGGACCAAAGAUUUAUCGCCUUUGGAUGGGCCCGCGUUGGAUUAGCUAGUUGGGAGGGUAAAAGCCUACCAAGGCGACGAUCCAUAGCUGGUCUGAGAGGAUGAUCAGCCACACUGGGACUGAGACACGGCCCAGACUCCUACGGGAAGCAGCAGUGGGGAAUAUUGGACAAUGGGCGAAAGCCUGAUCCAGCAAUGCCGCGUGAGUGAUGAAGGCCUUAGGGUUGUAAAGCUCUUUUACCCGGGAUGAUAAUGACAGUACCGGGAGAAUAAGCUCCGGCUAACUCCGUG
rnacentral:rRNA from 1 species